UUUUAUGAGAGUUUGAUCCUGGCUCAGGACGAACGCUGGCGGCGUGCCUAAUACAUGCAAGUCGAACGCUUCUUUUUCCACCGGAGCUUGCUCCACCGGAAAAAGAGGAGUGGCGAACGGGUGAGUAACACGUGGGUAACCUGCCCAUCAGAAGGGGAUAACACUUGGAAACAGGUGCUAAUACCGUAUAACAAUCGAAACCGCAUGGUUUUGAUUUGAAAGGCGCUUUCGGGUGUCGCUGAUGGAUGGACCCGCGGUGCAUUAGCUAGUUGGUGAGGUAACGGCUCACCAAGGCCACGAUGCAUAGCCGACCUGAGAGGGUGAUCGGCCACAUUGGGACUGAGACACGGCCCAAACUCCUACGGGAGGCAGCAGUAGGGAAUCUUCGGCAAUGGACGAAAGUCUGACCGAGCAACGCCGCGUGAGUGAAGAAGGUUUUCGGAUCGUAAAACUCUGUUGUUAGAGAAGAACAAGGAUGAGAGUAACUGUUCAUCCCUUGACGGUAUCUAACCAGAAAGCCACGGCUAACUACGUGCCAGCAGCCGCGGUAAUACGUAGGUGGCAAGCGUUGUCCGGAUUUAUUGGGCGUAAAGCGAGCGCAGGCGGUUUCUUAAGUCUGAUGUGAAAGCCCCCGGCUCAACCGGGGAGGGUCAUUGGAAACUGGGAGACUUGAGUGCAGAAGAGGAGAGUGGAAUUCCAUGUGUAGCGGUGAAAUGCGUAGAUAUAUGGAGGAACACCAGUGGCGAAGGCGGCUCUCUGGUCUGUAACUGACGCUGAGGCUCGAAAGCGUGGGGAGCAAACAGGAUUAGAUACCCUGGUAGUCCACGCCGUAAACGAUGAGUGCUAAGUGUUGGAGGGUUUCCGCCCUUCAGUGCUGCAGCUAACGCAUUAAGCACUCCGCCUGGGGAGUACGACCGCAAGGUUGAAACUCAAAGGAAUUGACGGGGGCCCGCACAAGCGGUGGAGCAUGUGGUUUAAUUCGAAGCAACGCGAAGAACCUUACCAGGUCUUGACAUCCUUUGACCACUCUAGAGAUAGAGCUUCCCCUUCGGGGGCAAAGUGACAGGUGGUGCAUGGUUGUCGUCAGCUCGUGUCGUGAGAUGUUGGGUUAAGUCCCGCAACGAGCGCAACCCUUAUUGUUAGUUGCCAUCAUUCAGUUGGGCACUCUAGCAAGACUGCCGGUGACAAACCGGAGGAAGGUGGGGAUGACGUCAAAUCAUCAUGCCCCUUAUGACCUGGGCUACACACGUGCU
rnacentral:rRNA from 1 species